AGUGAACGCUGGCGGUAGGCCUAACACAUGCAAGUCGAACGGCAGCACAGGAGAGCUUGCUCUCUGGGGGGCGAGUGGCGGACGGGUGAGGAAUACAUCGGAAUCUACUCUGUCGUGGGGGAUAACGUAGGGAAACUUACGCUAAUACCGCAUACGACCUACGGGUGAAAGCAGGGGACCUUCGGGCCUGGCGCGAUUGAAUGAGCCGAUGUCGGAUUAGCUAGUUGGCGGGGUAAAGGCCCACCAAGGCGACGAUCCGUAGCUGGUCUGAGAGGAUGAUCAGCCACACUGGAACUGAGACACGGUCCAGACUCCUACGGGAGGCAGCAGUGGGGAAUAUUGGACAAUGGGCGCAAGCCUGAUCCAGCCAUACCGCGUGGGUGAAGAAGGCCUUCGGGUUGUAAAGCCCUUUUGUUGGGAAAGAAAUCCAGCUGGCUAAUACCCGGUUGGGAUGACGGUACCCAAAGAAUAAGCACCGGCUAACUUCGUGCCAGCCGCCGCCGUAA
rnacentral:rRNA from 1 species